UCCGGUUUGUCACCGGCAGUCACCUUAGAGUGCCCAACUGAAUGCUGGCAACUAAGAUCAAGGGUUGCGCUCGUUGCGGGACUUAACCCAACAUCUCACGACACGAGCUGACGACAACCAUGCAGCACCUGUGCACGGGCUCCGAAGAGGGCUCGCCGUUUCUGGCAAGUUUCCCGUGUAUAUCAAGCCUAGGUAAGGUUCUUCGCGUUGCGUCGAAUUAAACCACAUGCUCCGCCGCUUGUGCGGGCCCCUGUCAAUUCCUUUGAGUUUUAGCCUUGCGGCCGUACUCCCCAGGCGGGGCGCUUAAUGCGUUAGCUGCGGCACAGAGAACCGGAGAGGUCCCCCACACCUAGCGCCCAACGUUUACAGCGUGGACUAC
rnacentral:misc_RNA from 1 species